GUGCCAGCAGCCGCGGUAAUACGUAGGCAGCAAGCGUUGUUCGGAGUUACUGGGCGUAAAGGGUGUGUAGGCGGUUCUUUAAGUUUGGUGUGAAAUCUCCCGGCUCAACUGGGAGGGUGCGCCGAAUACUGAGGGACUAGAGUACGGGAGAGGAAAGUGGAAUUCCUGGUGUAGCGGUGAAAUGCGUAGAUAUCAGGAGGAACACCGGUGGUGUAGACGGCUUUCUGGACCGUAACUGACGCUGAGACACGAAAGCGUGGGUAGCAAACAGGAUUAGAUACCCGCGUAGUCC
rnacentral:rRNA from 1 species